UACAGAGGUCUCAAGCGUUGUUCGGAUUCAUUGGGCGUAAAGGGUGCGUAGGUGGCGCGGUAAGUCGGGUGUGAAAUCUCGGAGCUUAACUCCGAAAUUGCAUUCGAUACUGCCGUGCUUGAGGACUGGAGAGGAGACUGGAAUUCAUGGUGUAGCAGUGAAAUGCGUAGAGAUCAUGAGGAAGACCAGUGGCGAAGGCGGCAUCCUGGACCGACACUG
rnacentral:rRNA from 1 species